rnacentral:rRNA from 1 species
GGUGAACGCUGGCGGUAGGCCUAACACAUGCAAGUCGAACGGCAGCACAGUAAGAGCUUGCUCUUACGGGUGGCGAGUGGCGGACGGGUGAGGAAUACAUCGGAAUCUACUUUUUCGUGGGGGAUAACGUAGGGAAACUUACGCUAAUACCGCAUACGACCUACGGGUGAAAGCAGGGGAUCUUCGGACCUUGCGCGAUUGAAUGAGCCGAUGUCGGAUUAGCUAGUUGGCGGGGUAAAGGCCCACCAAGGCGACGAUCCGUAGCUGGUCUGAGAGGAUGAUCAGGCACACUGGAACUGAGACACGGUCCAGACUCCUACGGGAGGCAGCAGUGGGGAAUAUUGGACAAUGGGCGCAAGCCUGAUCCAGCCAUACCGCGUGGGUGAAGAAGGCCUUCGGGUUGUAAAGCCCUUUUGUUGGGAAAGAAAAGCAGCAGGUUAAUACCCCGCUGUUCUGACGGUACCCAAAGAAUAAGCACCGGCUAACUUCGUG